AUGCCUGGAACUGCAUAAAUUUCUUCUACAAAGGAAGCCCACAGGUCGUUUUUAUUUGGAGCACUUUUUUUAAUAUGCGCCACAAUAUAUUCCGGAAUAUCAGACAUUAAUGAACCAGUAAAGAAGAUACUGAGGUGCAGAAGAGCUUUCCCAGUGUCCCGGGAGCCAUUCUACACAGCAUCCUACAGAAUGACUGUGGAUCUGCUGUGCUUAGUUUCUUUACUUGUGAAAACAGAGUAAUAGCAGCACCUACCUCACAGGGUUGUUCUGAAGAUUAGAGGGGUUCUUUCAUGGGAAGCUCUAGAGCAGUGCUUGAGACAUGGCUGUAUUUUCAGACUACACCUGUCCCACCUGCGGGGAUGAGCAGCGGGACAAGCGCUGCUCGCGCCUCUCACCGCACCGCAUCC